rnacentral:rRNA from 1 species
GAUGAACGCUGGCGGCGUGCCUAAUACAUGCAAGUAGAACGCUGAAGCUUGGUGCUUGCACCGAGCGGAUGAGUUGCGAACGGGUGAGUAACGCGUAGGUAACCUGCCUCUUAGCGGGGGAUAACUAUUGGAAACGAUAGCUAAUACCGCAUAAAAGUCGAUAUCGCAUGAUAUUGAUUUGAAAGGUGCAAAUGCAUCACUAAGAGAUGGACCUGCGUUGUAUUAGCAAGUUGGUGAGGUAACGGCUCACCAAGGCGACGAUACAUAGCCGACCUGAGAGGGUGAUCGGCCACACUGGGACUGAGACACGGCCCAGACUCCUACGGGAGGCAGCAGUAGGGAAUCUUCGGCAAUGGGGGCAACCCUGACCGAGCAACGCCGCGUGAGUGAAGAAGGUUUUCGGAUCGUAAAGCUCUGUUGUAAGAGAAGAACGAGUGUGAGAGUGGAAAGUUCACACUGUGACGGUAACUUACCAGAAAGGGACGGCUAACUACGUG